rnacentral:rRNA from 1 species
AGAGUUUGAUUAUGGCUCAGGAUGAACGCUGGCGGCGUGCCUAGCACAUGCAAGUCGAGCGAGAAACUCAUGACCAAUACUCGGUAGCGUGAUGAGCGGAAAGCGGCGGACGGGUGAGUAACGCGUAGGCAACCUGCCCCUUGCAGAGGGGUAGCCUCGGGAAACCGGGAUUAAAACCUCAUAAUGCGUAACGGAGACAUCUCCGAUACGCCAAAGAUUUAUCGGCAAGGGAUAGGCCUGCGUCUGAUUAGUUAGUUGGUGGGGUAACGGCCUACCAAGGCAGCGAUCAGUAGCCGACCUGAGAGGGUGAUCGGCCACAUUGGAACUGAGACACGGUCCAAACUCCUACGGGAGGCAGCAGUGGGGAAUAUUGCACAAUGGGCGAAAGCCUGAUGCAGCAACGCCGCGUGAAGGAUGAAGGCCCUUGGGUCGUAAACUUCUGUUCUAAGGGAAGAUAAUGACGGUACCUUAGGAGCAAGUCCCGGCUAACUACGUGCCAGCCGCCGC